rnacentral:lncRNA from 1 species
UUUAAUCAUUUAGUCAAGGAUAUAUAUGAAUUUCAUGUUGGAAUGGCUCAACAUAAGGAAAUUCUGUAUAUGGGUCCAUUAUUUGCGUUCUAAAAUUCGAUUAUGAUUACGGCAUCCCUUUUCAUAAUCUGAAUUAUGAGAACUUGGCAAAUUGAAAUGGAAAUAUUAUAGCAAAAGACUGGUUUAGUCUUUAUGUGAGACAUCAUGAAUCGUGUCCCAUAUGCUUCGGAUAUAGGAUCGAUUACAUGUGCUAUAUUCAUCCGUUCUAAAAUUUUCCAAAUGCCUGGGGCAUUAAGAAGGGAAAAGGUUUAGAACUGGAUAUGACUAAAAGGAUUAAACAAUUGUCGAGGACAAUCUAAGGUUUACCAAAGAUUGGUUGCUCAAGGACAAUUGGAAGUAUAGUGAUAAUUCUGGAAGGACCAUAUUGACAUAAUCUGUAAGGAGGCAACUCUUGUUCAGAAGUGAUAGUCAAAAUGGAAUCUGGAAAUGUUUCAAAGUUAGAAUUUUCAAUCUGUGUAAGAUUAAGGAAACUUAAUGCAAGAAGGAUAUUUCCAAGGAGUUGAUCUCCUUUGGAAUACUCUGUAAUGAUUGUUGCCAAGUCUUUGUGACUUUGUGCAUAAUCAUUACAAGAGGAUCAAUGCAUAUAAGUUUAGAAUCUAACAGAUUUCAGUAAAUGGCAUGAAUUUGGAAUUCUUGCAUUUGCAGUAAGGAUUUGGGAGUGUGAAAAGAGAAUCAUUGAAGUUAUGUUCAAUUGAUCUAGUUCACAAAGUAAAGAUCAUAGACAAACAUAGUAUGCAUACUUGGUGUGUGGCAUGACUAGUGUUUAAGAAAACAUAGUGUACAUGCUUGGAGCAUGGGACAACUAUUGUUUUAAAUUCAAGAAUAAAGUUGAUAGCUGAAACAGUAUACAAUGAAUAAUGUGUAAUCAUAUGGUGAUAAAUAAAAGGUGUUUUAUUUAUGUUCAAAGGGUUGAUACCAUAUUGGAUUCAAUUAUUAUUGUGUUUCAUUUUGCAUGUUUUGACUUCCCGAAUAAACUGGGUUAUUCUUCCGGAAUGACUAAGUUAUUCAAACCAUCCACAGUCGGUCAUAUGUUGGAAGUAGAUAUGAAUUAAGACUGUCAUGGGUUGGCUUGUAGAGGUCUAAGGUGUUGGACAAAGGGCUACAACACUCAUGAGUGCUCAUAAGUUCUGAGUAUUGGAUUCAACCCGCGCUCAUUGGAAUCACUUCAUGGAUUUUAUCACGAGUGAUCAUGAGACGAUAAUAUCUUAUAUUCUUCAAACCUAGAGAUAUGAGUUGUUACUAUGAGUUGAUAGUACAUUGAUUGCACGAAAACGCAUUUGGUAACUCGGUGCUAUAAAACGUGCCUUUGUGUAUGAUUCAACAAGUAGUAGAACAAGCCAUAUGAGUCGAAGUUUAUCCAUUCCUUUUACCUUCGGGAUAAAAGCGAUAUCUGUGGGCCCCUCGAUGAUUUGAUGAUGACAAAUGGAAGUGCUCGGCCGGGCCAGGACUGAUUUGAUUUGUUCAAUUAGUCAGUCGUCAUAAAUCGGAAAUCGGGAAACAACAAAUGGACAGAGAGAAUGAUUAUAAUCCAUGUCUCAGUCCAUAUGAUAUCUAGAAUGGAGGAAUAUAUGAUCCCUUAUCUAAUGGACAAGUCAUUGACAAAGGUCAGAGUUCAUCUACAAGGUCAGAGUUCGACAGAAGCUUUUGAGAGCUACGAUUGCCAGUUGGUUCCUGAAGUCAUACGCAAUAAUAGUUUUAGACUUAUCCAAGUGGGAGACUAUUGGAUUAAUGUCUAAGUCCAUAACUAUAAUUGGUAAGACUUGACCCGACCCGGCAUGGUCCAUUUGGGUUGCAUGCCAUCAUGCACUUGGAUAGACUAAAAUGAGAGAAAUAAGACACUUAUGGUUAUUAAUAUAUUAUAAGUUCUAGUAUAUUAAUAAUAAGAAUAAUAAGAUUAUUUAAUUAGUAUUGAUCAAGAAUUAAUCUAGGAUUAAUUAAGUGAUCAAAAGAAGACUAAUUAAAUAUAUGGGUUGAUUGUGUAAAUCAUCCAUACUUGUAUAGUGGGCUAAUGCUCCAUGGAUAAUCAAGUUGGGCUAAAACCCAUAGGAUGGUCCAUGGAUGCUCCAUGGUGUAUUUAAACCCAUGGAUCCAAUGAAAUGGAAAGUCAUGACAAUUAGGGUUUACCCUAAUUGUAACACUAUAUAGAGAUCUUAUUCUUGUCAAAAUCGGCGACUAGGAUCAUUCUAGAGAAGGGCUAGCCGUUUUCAUGAAGUGUAGAUUUCUCUCAAGUUAUUCCAAGUGUAUUUGGUGUUGUGUGAACCAUUUGAGGUGUCACACUUGGGGCACUAGGCACUCAAGCUUCAUGAAGACUUUCUACAUCAAAGAGGUAUGUAUUUUGUCUUGUUAUAUUCAUUGUUUUGUAUGCUAGAUUAGGAUAAUACCUUGGAAAGUUCUUAUUUGCAUGUAUAAUAGAGAAAACAUAGAUCCAAGGUAUUUAGGGUUGCAUGUACACUUUGGAGUGUUAGAAUACUCAAAACCCAACAUGUAUAUGGUGACGCGAACAAAACUCUCACAAUCCUAAAAAUCUUCAAACUUCUUCAACUUCAUCUCUUUCAAACCCUAUCAAUGGCUGGUACUCAAUCAAACACCGAUGAAGUUCUCUCACAAUCACUCAUGAAGAUCCAAAGCACCAACUAUGUCGUUGAUCCCAAUGUGUCAUCAUACCUAGAAGGAUUGAAGAUGCUAAUCGUUGCCUUGAAAAGAUCUCCUCUGUCUACUGCAAUGUUCAAUUUCUUCUCAGUUCCAAUGACUUGGUUGUCCUUGGCAGCAUCAUCAGCCUUAUACAACUAUGCAACUGAUGUCAUUACAUUCCAUAUGAUGAACAGCAAAAGGGUCAAACUCACCAAGAAAAUGUUCAUCGAGUUCUUGAACAUUCCCAAAAACCCUAUUUUUUUCAAACCUCUCAAUUCUCAAAUAAUCUUUAUGUUCAAUGAAAUGGGUCAUCAGCCAGCAUUGGAGAAGAUUAGUGAUUUCAGAAAGUCUGGAUUACCAUGUAUGUGGAAUUUUCUAUUUGGAAUUUUCCUCAGAUGUUUGGCCCGAAGAUCAGUAGGUUUGGACAGGGGACGUAUGGAAGUCUACGCAAUGGUGAUGGGCUUAUACUAUGAUCUUAAUGUUGAUUAUGGAACUCAGUUGUGGAAGGAGUUCAUAAAAAGUUUGGAAAACACUAAUUCUGAGAAACGUGUUUCAUGUGCAAGAUAUUGGAGCCUUAUUCUGAAAAAGGCGUAUGAAAAAUACGGUAUUCCAGUUCCAGAGGAUGCUGAGGUUGUGGAAUUUUCAAUGUAUCAGUUUCCGAAGGAGGUGGAGGAUGAUGAAAACAUUUUUUCUCAUAUUGCUCGCAUUCCAGAUGUGAUGCUUCGCAAAGUAUCAUCCACUCACAAAGUGUUGAUAUGCUACAUGAAGACUUUUGAUCCAGCUGUGGAGACUGGGAUUUUGUUAGAAGUUACUGCCAAAACCCCAAAGAAGAAGAAGGCCAUCAAGAAGGAUGAAAAUGCUCAAUCUUCAAAACAAAGUCAAGAAGAAGAGGUUCAGAUAGAGGAGACCUCGUCGAAAUCGAUGAAGGAAACAAUACCCUCAAAAUUAGGGGUAUUGAAAAAGAUUCGCAAAACCGAAGUCAGCAGUAAGGGGGUGACAGUUCGCAGUAUUCCAACUCCUGUCUCUCCAGGAUCUAAGAGGCAACGAGCUCAGGAUGUUGCGAAACAAAUGCAACAAACUUUGUUGAAGAAGCGAAAGUAAGCGAAAGUUGAUUAUUUGUAAUGAGUCUUCAGAUGAAGAGGUGGUUCCAGACACUCCACUAGUUUCUGCACCGGUAAUCAUUUCUCUUCUUCCUGUGUCCAUUAUACAUGUUUCAAAAAUUUCCACACAACCACUUGAAAUAGUAACUACCAAAUCAGUUUCUGAGGAGGUACCUAUUUUCGAUACGGUUGUCAACGUAUCUGAUACGGGGGCACCUAUCACAAGUGUUGAAACCACUCUGCUCAUUAGCCUACCAAUUACAUUACCCAUUUCCUUACCACCAGUAUCACUUCCAUCUUCUACACUUUCUACCUCAUCCAUUUUUGACCACCUCUACAAAACCCAUUUACAACCUUAUUUCCAUCACAGUCACCUGAAACUCCCCAACCUUCGCAACCCAUGUCUUAUAAUGAAACUUAAGGAGGGGAUUUUGGAGGACUAUUUGAAGAUGUUCACUUUGAUUCAGAGGAGGAGGAUAUACCUGAUCCUAUGCUUAUGACAGGAAAGUAAUUCAAAGUCCUGAAUCACAAGUUGAAUGCCACUAUUCAAUCACAAGCUGAUUCUGGCAGAAUGUCAUCUAUCUCAGCAAUGGAGGUUGAUGUUAUGCUCAAGGCUGCUGAGAAAAGAAUAUUGGAUAAGGUUGACCAGACAGACAAAAACAAUGAGCUUCGCAUUAAAGCUCAAGGAAGUUCAUUCAAUGGAGUUGUUAAAGAUUUACAAUCUGUUGCAAAAGAACGUCAUGUUCUGUUUGUGCAGGAUGUAAAGAAGGUGCGGGAGGAUGUGAACUUUAAACUUGAAGAAUUAUAGUCUGAACUUGCGAAGGAGCUUCAAGAUAUUACUUCUCAACAAAUUGAAGUACAGAAGAAGGUUGAUGUAGUUGUCUCAGACAUAAACAAAGUUAUUGCUGCUCCUAUCUUUGAAGCGAAUCACAAAGAAAAUAAGGAGAAGUUUGAUCUGCUGAUUAAAGUGGUGACAAAGUUGAAAGCCUUGAUUUCGCAAUAUUCAUCUCCAUCUAUUCUCACUCCUGAAUUCUUGACUUUCAAAGUAAAUAAUUUUGAACAAGCAAUUCAGAAGGCACUUGCUCCGAUUGCGAACUUCACCUCUUUACUACCAAAAAGUGUCCCACCUGCUUUCACAGGGGUGCAAGGGGGAGAGAAAAACUCAAGUAAAGAGGAUGAUGCGAAGACUAUAGGGAAAGUCAUAUCUACUCAGCUCAAAUCUACUCUUCCAAUAUUCACAAUUCCGAUCUCCUCAACAACAAUAAACACAAGACCAAUUGCCAAAGGAAUAACGAUUGGGUCAAAAGAAGGAAGUUCUAGUGUGAAACCUCCAACUGAUAGUGUGGGAAAAGCAAAAAGGAAUUUUUUACGAAAAAUCAAAGGAGGAGAAGAAAGCUGAAGCAGAGGCUGAGGUGGAAAGAAUGAGGGAAGUUCAAAGCAUAAUGAGACAAAGGGCAAGUGAUCCUCCCACAAUGAAUAAAGGAGAUCCUGCGAAGCUAUACUCUAAUGAAACAAUAGAGACGAAAGUUAUGGGAAGGGAGAUGUAUGAAUUCGAGAAGAAGCCAAAGAGAAGUUAUGAUAUUGCGAAUUCAGACAAAUGCCAGUUGGAUUUUCCGAUAAACGAAAUGCUUUUCGUUACAGCUCAAUACAAGAUUAGCGAGAAGUUCGAUAACGCUGAUAAUUACAUACACAUGAAAAUCAGAUUUCAUGCUAUAUUGGAAAAGAAUCUAGAUGAUGUAUGGUCUUUAAUGAAGAUCAAAAAGGUGUUGACGAUCAAGAAGGGUACGAUGUUUGAAGACAUGCUUUCAGGAAUUUCGUUAUUUUGUUAUUCGAGCUGAUAACAAGUAGUAUGAUUUCACAAUAGUUGACUUCCCUAUGAUGAAUUGCAAUGAUCUGAUUCAAGUGGCUCUCAUUUUGAAACAUAUGGAAGAGAAUAAGCUCAAAGGAUCUGAGACUGAAGUGUUUAGAAUUGGGUUCACACAUGUCAAGACGUAUAUCGAUAAUUACUUCUAUCGUUUGGCUUUAACUGUUGAGGAACUCGCAAGUACAUUGGGAAGAGAAGUGAACGUUCCUUGGGAAGAUACCUUGUCCCAGUCAGCAUUAUCUAAGUAUGUUGUUGGGGAAAUAUGCUUGAAACCUUUUGGCAUGGUAUUUUCGGGAAGAGAUAUGAAGGGGAAGCCCAAGAAAUUUUUGUUCUGAAUGAUGUACUUCUUCAUAAUAUACGAACUUUAUUGUUCGUAUGAACAACUGCAAGAAGAAUAAUGAAGGAGACAAGAAGGAGCUGAAGAAGGUGAUUUCCUGGUAUGGAGAAGUGCGAAAGACAAUUCACUCAGCUGUUCAAAGGCUUAUGGACUGAAUAGCUUCGACUGUUUACAAAGGGGGAGAUUGUAGAGGUUGAAUUGUAAAAGUCGAAAUGUCUGUUUGUUUAGUUUCGCAUUUUUAGUUAUUUUACUAAGUCAGUUUUAUGCGAAGCGUAUUGUUACAGACUUAGUAUAUUUUUUGUACACUCAGGUUUCCUAUAAAUAGGAACUGAGGAUAGAAGUAGAAGGAACUUUUCCCUCUAGUAUUCUUUCUGCUUAAAAGUUUGGUAAUCAGUCUUCAUCAAUCUAACAUCUGAUUAAUAUUUACUCAUUGUGUUCUUACUUUUCAAUCAUUCAAUUAUAAUCGUUUUCUUAAUCUCGAUAAGAAUUCUCUUCACUACCACCUCACUCCUUUCGCAAAAAUCAACAAUUCAACAAACCACCCUUCAAUCAUAAAUUCAACCCAUAAACAAAUCACUCACAUUAUCCUAAAAGUUCUCAUCCACCACUACAAUCUCACAAUACUCACCCUAAGGAAGCACCGCAGCCUACUCAAACCACUGACUCCGGUACUUCCUCAGAAGACAAGACUAAUGUUGUAGUUUGUCACAAAUGCAACAAAGAGAAUAACUUUGCAAGAGAUUGUAAGGCCAGUUUAGUUAAAGAUAGAGCAUUCUACCUUAGAGUGGCUUAAGAGCUGGAAGAAAAGAAGAAAGCAAGGGAAUACGUAGCCCAUGUAAAAAGAGACCACCAAGUCUGGUCAUCCGGAGAUGAAGAUGAAGCCAUCAGCAUAGUUAAUGGCAAAGGGUAAAUCUGCAUGUUAGCAACUGCGGAUGAUGAUGGGUCUGUUGGAUUAAUCUCUAAGUCCAUAACUAUAAUUGGAAAGACUUGACCCAACCCGACAUCGUCCAUUUGGGUUGCAUGGCAUCAUGCACAUGGAUAGACUAUAAUGAGAGAAAUAAGACACUUAUGGUUAUUAAUAUAUUAUAAGUUCGAGUAUAUUAAUAAUAAGAAUAAUAAGAUUAUUUAAUUAGUAUUGAUCAAGAAUUAAUCUAGGAUUAAUUAAGUGAUCAAAAGAAGACUAAUUAAAUAUAUGGGUUGAUUGUGUAAAUCAUCCAUACUUGUAUAGUGGGCUAAUGCUCCAUGGAUAAUCAAGUUGGGCUAAAACCCAUAGGAUGGUCCAUGGAUGCUCCAUGGUGUAUUUGUACCCAUGGAUCCAAGGAAAUGGAAAGCCAUGACAAUUAAGAGUUUACCCUAAUUGUGUAACUAUAUAAGCAUCUUAUUAUUGAGGAAAAAUCGGCCACUAGAGAUAGUGAAGAAAGGGCUAGCCGAUUUUGAUGAGUGUAGAAUUCUCUCAAGUCAUUCUAAGUGUUUUGAUGAUUGUGAUUCCAUUUGAGGUGUCACACUUGGGGCACUAGGCACUCAAGCUUCAUGAAGACUUUCUACACCAAAGAGGUAUGUAUUCUAUCUUGCUAUAGUUAUUGUUUUGUAUGCUAGAUUAGGAUAAUACCUUGGAAGUUCUUAUUUGCAUGUAUAAUAGAGAAAACAUAGAUCCAAGGUAUUUAGGGUUGCAUGUACACUUAGGAAGUGUUAGAAUGCUCAAAACCCAACAGUGGUAUCAGAGCCACGGGUUGUUUUCUGUUAUAUUGAUGCAAAUAUUUUAUUUUCAAAGUUGAAAAAAAAAAAAAAAAAAAACAUGAAGUUUGUCAAAUUUUAAGAUAAUUACUUGUUCUUGUGAAAAACUAAUUAUUUGUAAAAUUUGAAUAAUUUGCUUUAUGAGUUGAAUUAGGUCAAAUUUAAUAAAAGAUAAAAUAAUAUGAUUAUUUUAUUAGUUUUAAAAGUUUGAUCUAAAGAGUUUUAUUUUUUGAAACCUCCAUAAGUUAUGGAUAUGAAAAGGUUUUAAAAAAAAAAUUGAUUCAAAGUUUUUUUGGAGUUACAAAAUUUGGUGUUAAUGUUUUAAAGGAUUCCAUAACUUAAGAAUAAGUUAUGGAUCACCAAAAGUUUUUUGUGUUACCUUGUUUUAUGAGUGAAUUUAGAUUAAUGAAUAAAAUUAUGUGAUAGUUGGUUUUAAUCCAAAUUAAUCUAAGAAUUGAUUCUAAAAUGUGUUUUUGUAACUUGUCCUCAAGUUAUAUGAAAAGUCACAUUUAAGAAUCAUAAAACUCAUAAAAAUUGGCAAAGGUUACAAAAAUGAAGAGUCUAGUUCUAAUUAAAUGGUUUUAUGACUCCAUAACUUGUCCUCAAGUUAUGGAGGACCAAGAGUCUCUUCAUUUAAUAAAAUAAAAUAAAAAAAAAAAAAGUGUAACCUUAAUUAAUUCCAUAAGUUAUAAAAUAAAGAAAAGUUAAUUCUUUUAUUAGUUUAAAGUCUUCCAUAACUUGUCCUCAAGUUAUGGAACUUGAAGAGUUUUUGGAUUAAAACUACUUUAAACACAUAAGUUAUGGAAUUAAUUAGUUUUGAAUAGUUUCAAAACUUGCCCUCAAGUUUUGGAAUUUGUAAAGUUUUCACUUAUGAAUACUUUAAUUCCAAGUUAGCCCUUAGAAUUUUAAAAGUUAAAAUUCAACCCUUAUACUUUAUAAUAUUAUAAGUUAAUAAUAUAUAUAUGUAUAAGAGUAAAGUCAGUCUUACCGCUAGUACGCCUCAUUCACGAAGCCGGUCUAUAAGGUGGGUAUAAGGUUGUUGCCUAUAAAAUGGCAACUUAAUGGGUGUCCACUCUCACCCACCGCUUGCUUGACUGGUGGAGGGUCGUUAGCCGAACGGGUUUGACAGGACUAGAAUUCUCCCUUCAUUAAAAGUAUUAAUGAUAAUACUAAGUAACUAAACUCUUAAUAAUACCCAAUCUUAGUUACUUAGGAAAAAUGUGAAUAAGGUGCUAAUCCAUGAAAUUACACUUUACACUUUGUCUAAGUCGUUAGUGGAGCGUGUGUGGUUAACCGGCACACUAACUUGGACUUAACAAGGUAGGUAAAGGGUGACUUAAUAUUUAUCAUAGUAUCGAUGGAGCGUGUGUGGUUAACCGGCACAUCGAUUGAGGGGUAAUUUAUUAAGGGUACCAAGUGAUUUGCAUGGUUACUUCACACCUUGUUUUGUGAUCCUCGGCAUCCCAGUCACAAAACCUGAAGGGCACACUCGAGAUUGAAACAUGCCUUUGAACAGUUCAAUGAAUCUCAAAGAUCUAGGAGUUUCAAAACCAAUUAAAACCUAAUAAUACAUUUCGUUUAUCUUGGUGGAAAUUGGUGAAUCGUCAUUCACCUACCUUCAAAUAUUUUAUAGCUUGGAUUACGGCAUACCUCUUCUAAGUUAUAAAAUAGUUUGUUGGGUCCUAGCCUUAAUAUUUCAUAUUGGGUGUCAUAUUAAGGACUUUAAAUCAACUAUCUUGAAUAUCUCCCAAAAGAUGUCUGGUUUAGACACCUAUGAUCUUCCCAAAUCUCUUGAAACAAGGUUUCCUAAUGAAGAUGAUGUCCCAUGGAUAUCAUACUUCUUUCUCCUCCUCCAAUUAUUCUCCCUAACCCACAAGUUCUUGAAAAGUUUAAGGUCACUCAAGCCCUAUUGGCAAGGCAAGGUCUAGGUGUGAUCACAUCUUGGAGAUGUAGUCACAUAUUGACAAGCCGGGAGAGUUGGGUGUCAAAGUCUUGAGAAAGUUGGUGGUUCAAUCACUUUCUAAGUCACAUAGUGAGUUCCUUUGGGACACCUAUGAAACAGACUAUGACAAGACCCUUAAUGAUCUUAUCUAUUUGCUAAGAUCAACUUCCUAAAACUUUAUGGACAUUGACAAUGAUGACAUUGGAUAUCCAGUAAAGCAUUCUCUUCCCAAUGGAAAGGGAUCGGCCAUAGUCAACUCGGUUGACCAAAUGGUAAAGAGAAAAGCUAAGUCUGUGAUAGUCUCGUGUACCAUUAUCAAAGGGUCCAUAUGUUUAUAUUGCCAAAGGAAGGGGCAUUGGUUGCGAAGCUGCCAAAUUUACCUAAGGAUGUUAAAGUCAAUAAGUUUGACUCUACUUCAGGUAAAGUCCACUAUCUAACUCUGUUAAGUUUCUAUUCUGAGAUUCUUGAUACAUGAUGUGACUGGGUCACAUGGUGAUGUUUUAAGAAUCAAAGAAAAGUGAAGAAACUUAAAGAAAGAAUAUGCUGAAUCUGAUGGCGUAGAUGGAUUUCUAUCGCAUAGUUUGAAGAUCGGAUUCUUGAGCUACUUCUUAGGAGUUAUGAGAUAUUGCUUAGGAAUAGAUAACAACAAGUUUUCAUAUGGAUUGUAAGGAUAAGUUUUUCCGCAAAGUUUUAAAAUAAAAGAAAAUUUUUGAUUUUAUUUAUUUUAAAAUAUCCUUACAAUGGCAUUUGAGGAAAAAUUGUUGCUUAUAUGAUUCCAUUAAGAGCAAGAGUGGAAAUAUGAAAUUGAUUCUUUCAUUUGUGGUAAUGUCUAAAUUUACCAAAUAAGGAAAGAUUCUCAUCACCCAAGUUUCAAUUGGACCGGAACUUGGAAUCAUGCAAGUUGUAUAGCAUGAUGAAUGAGAACUUUCAAGUUUUGGAAAAUUAAGACUAAUUACUCGGCCACAUGGAUGUGUGAGUCAAGUAAAGGACUAAGGGAUCGAGUACACAUUCUUGUGCACUGAUUAAGUCCACCACAAAAGAUUGAUAAGACUAUUCGUCAUAGUUUACUAAAGCUCAGUAAAUAUGAUUAUACUUACAAGCUUAAGUGUAACUCUGAGACAUUGGAAAAGGUUCCAAUGUAUGGCAGAGCGAAUAAGAAGAAUCAAAUUAGGCAGAAGGAUAAAAGUUUCUCAAAUCUGAAAAGAUGGGAGAGUACUUUAGUAUCAGUUUUGUGAUCAUCUUAAUGAUUAAGAAACCAUAGCACAAUUAGUUCUCUAAGGAAAUCUUAGUGCAUUCUUAUUACUAAGAAGAGGAAUCUUGAAUUGUUGAAAUGGUUAAAUCAAGAAGACGAGUCAUACUUCGUUCCAAUACAAUUCUUAGAGUCAUACUCCAAGAUUGUCAUUUGAGUGACAUGUCUUAAAGAAGGUUUAAAACACUUGUCAAAUGUAAGAGUAAAAGUUUUCUACUCUUGUACAUUUGAAAUUGGUAAGUUGUGAUGUUUUGGAUAAAACAAAGACCAACUUAGGCCAAUUGUGUGAAGUGUUUCUCUUGGUUAGAAUCCACACUAUCUCUUGGAUGUUUGACAAGAAAUUAUUAUAUGUCAAGAGGACAGUGGGAGUCUUAAAGGUCUUGAAAGUCUCAAGAACUAAUCAAGAAUAAAACAUGAAGUAAUGGCAGGCCCUUGAGCUUGAGGUUUAUAACCUAUCGUGUUGACAUAUUCUGUGCCCAUUCCAGUUAAAGUUGGCUUUGCAUAUGAGUUCUUAGAGUUCUCAAUUUGUUGCACAACAACUUGGAAGCAAUGGCAGGCCCUUGAGCUGCCAGGUGGCAAGAAGUUAAGAUUGAGUUCAAUCCAUAUGAGUUUGGAUUUGUCAUUAUCCUUGUCUUGUGACUAUGGUUUUGACAAUUCACAUGGAUAAGAACACAUACACCAUUAAAUCUAAGUGUCAUAAGGUUUCUCUCCGAUUCAUGAAAAUGAUGGUGAGGAAACACUUUCACUAAGUAGAUUUUAGCUAGAUAGCAAUUGUGAUAUUUGAAUUCUCAAAGUCGUUAGUGGAGCGUGUGUGGUUUACUGGCACACUAACCUAGACUUGUGAGAAGUGGCAAAAAGGUCUAACCAUUAUGAUUACGGCAUUUCUCUUCAUAAUUGUUUAGACACACAAGUAUGAUAUCUAGGGGAAGGUAUAUGAUUUUGAUAAUGUUUUAUCAAAACAAUAUAGUAUCAGAAAUCUGGACUUUGGUAAGAGAGUCAGCUGAUUUCUGAGUACAUGUCAAAGCUAGUGGGAGCAUAAGUGUUAUCAUGUUAGUGGGAGCACGAUAAUUAUCAUAAGUAUUGCAAGUUAGCAAUGUUAAUUUUAGAAAACAUUAUAGAAAACAAAAGUUUCAAUUGGGAAAAAGUUGUUUUGCUAUAAUUAAGGGAGAGGAAAUUAUACUUCAUCUCAAAUCUAUAAGCUUAGAUCGUGAGGUUUUAAUCAUUUAGUCAAGGAUAUAUAUGAAUUUCAUGUUGGAAUGGCACAACAUAAGGAAAUUUUGUAUAUGAGUCCAUUAUUUGCGUUCUAAAAUUCGAUUAUGAUUACGGCAUCCCUUUUCAUAAUCUGAAUUAUGCGAACUUGGCAAAUUGAAAUGGAAAUGUUAUAGCAAAAGACUGGUUUAGUCUUUAUGUGAGACAUCAUGAAUCGAUUCCCAUAUGCUUCAGAUAUAAGAUCGAUUACAUGUGCUAUAUUCAUCCGUUCUAAAAAAUUUCCAAAUGACUGGGGCAUUAAGAAGGGAAAACGUUUAGAACUGGAUAUGACUAAAAGGAUUAAGCAUUUGUCUAGGACAAUCUAAGGUUUACCAAAGAUUGGGUGCUCAAGGACAGUUGGAAGUAUAGUGAUAAUUUUGGAAGGACCAUAUUGACAUAAUCUGUAAGGAGGCAACUCUUGUUCAGAAGUGAUAGUCAAAAUGGAAUCUGGAAAUGUUUCAAAGUUAGAAUUUUCAAUCUGUUUAAGAUUAGGAAACUUAAUGCAAGAAGGAUGUUUCCAAGGAGCUGAUCUCCUUUGGAAUGCUCUGUAAUGAUUGUUGUCAAGUCUUUCUGACUUUGUGCAUAAUCAUUACAAGAGGAUCAAUGCAUAUAAGUUUAGAAUCUAACAGAUUUCAGUAAAUGGCAUGAAUUUGGAAUUCUUGCAUUUGCAGUAAGGAUUUGGGAGUGUGAAAAGAGAAUCAUUGAAGUUAUGUUCAAUUGAUCUAGUUCACAAAGUAAAGAUCAUAGACAAACAUAGUAUGCAUACUUGGUGUGU